rnacentral:rRNA from 1 species
UACCUUAAUGUUGCCUCGGCGGAUCAGCCCGCGCCCCGUAAAACGGGACGGCCCGCCAGAGGACCCAAACUCUAAUGUUUCUUAUUGUAACUUCUGAGUAAAACAAACAAAUAAAUCAAAACUUUCAACAACGGAUCUCUUGGUUCUGGCAUCGAUGAAGAACGCAGCAAAAUGCGAUAAGUAAUGUGAAUUGCAGAAUUCAGUGAAUCAUCGAAUCUUUGAACGCACAUUGCGCCCGCUGGUAUUCCGGCGGGCAUGCCUGUUCGAGCGUCAUUUCAACCCUCAAGCCCCCGGGUUUGGUGUUGGGGAUCGGCUCUGCCUUACGGCGGUGCCGCCCCCGAAAUACAUUGGCGGUCUCGCUGCAGCCUCCAUUGCGUAGUAGCUAACACCUCGCAACUGGAACGCGGCGCGGCCAUGCCGUAAAACCCCAACUUCUGAAUGUUGACCU